UACGUAGGGGGCAAGCGUUGUCCGGAUUUAUUGGGCGUAAAGAGCGUGUAGGCGGCCAGGUAGGUCCGUUGUGAAAACUCGAGGCUCAACCUCGAGCUGUCGAUGGAAACCAUCUGGCUAGAGUCCGGAAGAGGCGAGUGGAAUUCCUGGUGUAGCGGUGGAAUGCGCAGAUAUCAGGAGGGACACCGAUGGCGAAGGCAGAUCUCUGGGCCGUAACUGACGCUGAGGAGCGAAAGCAUGGGGAGCGAACAGG
rnacentral:rRNA from 1 species